CUGGCCCUGAAUUAAGGCUGGCAGCUUCCUGAUGAUGUUGGUUUCAAGCAGGAGCCUAAAGAGAUCUCUUUCUAUGGUCUGUUGGCUGUUUCAGAAAGUGAAAUGGUCAAUUCAUUAGAAAGAAACUGAG
ensembl:snoRNA